GAUGAACGCUGGCGGCGUGCCUAAUACAUGCAAGUCGAGCGAACGGAUAAGGAGCUUGCUCCUUUGACGUUAGCGGCGGACGGGUGAGUAACACGUGGAUAACCUACCUAUAAGACUGGGAUAACUUCGGGAAACCGGAGCUAAUACCGGAUAACAUAUUGAACCGCAUGGUUCAAUAGUGAAAGGCGGCUUUGCUGUCACUUAUAGAUGGAUCCGCGCCGUAUUAGCUAGUUGGUAAGGUAACGGCUUACCAAGGCAACGAUACGUAGCCGACCUGAGAGGGUGAUCGGCCACACUGGAACUGAGACACGGUCCAGACUCCUACGGGAGGCAGCAGUAGGGAAUCUUCCGCAAUGGGCGAAAGCCUGACGGAGCAACGCCGCGUGAGUGAUGAAGGUCUUCGGAUCGUAAAACUCUGUCAUCAGGGAAGAACAAAUGUGUAAGUAACUGUGCACAUCUUGACGGUACCUGAUCAGAAAGCCACGGCUAACUACGUG
rnacentral:rRNA from 1 species